rnacentral:rRNA from 1 species
UACACCGAAGCUUGGGAUUGUACUAUGUACAGUGGUAGGAGAGCGUCGUAUGAGAGGAGAAGUCAGAGCGGAAGCGCUGGUGGAUUUCAUACGAGUGAGAAUGCCGGAAUGAGUAGCGAGAAUUAUGUGAGAAUCAUAAUGGCCGAAAGUCUAAGGUUUUGGAAGGAAGGUUCGUCCGCUUCCAGUAAGCCGGGAGCUAAGGUGAGGCCGAAAGGCGUAGCCGAUGCACAUACGGUUGAAAUUCCGUAGCCUCCGAAGUAUUUAAACAGAAGGACACUUGAGAAGUGAUGUUGCCGGGCGAUGGUUGACCCGGUCGUAAGGGACCGAAAUUUAGUAGGGAAGUCAUCAUGGAUUGAGGCGAGAAAAGUUCUGUGGAUAUACAAGGAGCCCGUACCGCAAACCGACACAGGUAGAUAGGAAGAAAAUUCUAAGGCCAACGGGAGAAGGGUUGUUAAGGAACUCGGCAAGUUGACCCCGUAACUUCGGAAUAAGGGGUGCUCUCGAGAGAGAGCCGCAGAGAAUAGGCCCAGGCGACUGUUUAGCAAAAACACAGCUCUAUGCUAAAUCGAAAGAUGAUGUAUAUGGGGUGACACCUGCCCGGUGCCGGAAGGUUAAGAGGAGGCGUGAGAGCGCUGAAUUGAAGCCCCGGUAAACGGCGGCCGUAACGAUAACGGUCCUAAGGUAGCGAAAUUCCUUGUCAGGUAAGUUCUGACCCGCACGAAUGGUGUAACGAUCUGGGCACUGUCUCAACAACCCGCCCGGCGAAAUUGUAGUACCGGUGAAGAUGCCGGUUACCCGCGACUAGACGGAAAGACCCCAUUGAGCUUUACUGCAGCUUAAUGUUGAAUUUCGGUAUUUCAUGUACAGGAUAGGUGGGAGACUGGGAACUACAGGCGUCAGCUUGUGGGGAGUCAUUGUUGGGAUACCACUCUUGAAGUGCUGGAAUUCUAACCUGCGGCCUUGAAUCAGGUCGGGGGACAUCGUUAGGCGGGCAGUUUGACUGGGGCGGUCGCCUCCAAAAGAGUAACGGAGGCGCUCAAAGGUCAGCUCAGCAUGGAUGGAAACCAUGCAAGUGAGUGCAAACGCAAAAGCUGGCCUAACUGCGAGACUGACGGGUCGAGCAGUAACGAAAGUUGGAGUUAGUGAUCCGGCGGUAUGUGAGUGGAAAUGCCGUCGCUCAACGGAUAAAAGCUACCCUGGGGAUAACAGGCUGAUCUCCCCCAAGAGUCCACAUCGACGGGGAGGUUUGGCACCUCGAUGUCGGCUCAUCGCAUCCUGGGGCUGAAUUCGGUCCCAAGGGUUUGGCUGUUCGCCAAUUAAAGCGGUACGCGAGCUGGGUUCAGAACGUCGUGAGACAGUUCGGUCCCUAUCUGUCGUGGGCGAAGGAUAUUUGAAAGGAGCUGUCCCUAGUACGAGAGGACCGGGAUGGACGCACCUCUGGUGCACCGGUUGUCGUGCCAACGGCACAGCCGGGCAGCUAAGUGCGGAACGGAUAAACGCUGAAGGCAUCUAAGCGUGAAACCGCCCUUAAGAUAAGAUAUCCCAUCGAAAGAGUAAGACCCCUCAAAGACUAUGAGGUUGAUAGGCCUAUGGUGUAAGCAUGGUGACAUGUUCAGCCUGCAGGUACUAAUCGGUCGAGGGCUUGACCG